rnacentral:rRNA from 1 species
CACUCCUGCGGGAGGCAGCAGUGGGGAAUAUUGGACAAUGGGCGCAAGCCUGAUCCAGCCAUGCCGCGUGAGUGAUGAAGGCCCUAGGGUUGUAAAGCUCUUUCACCGGUGAAGAUAAUGACGGUAACCGGAGAAGAAGCCCCGGCUAACUUCGUGCCAGCAGCCGCGGUAAUACGAAGGGGGCUAGCGUUGUUCGGAUUUACUGGGCGUAAAGCGCACGUAGGCGGACUAUUAAGUCAGGGGUGAAAUCCCGGGGCUCAACCCCGGAACUGCCUUUGAUACUGGUAGUCUUGAGUUCGAGAGAGGUGAGUGGAAUUCCGAGUGUAGAGGUGAAAUUCGUAGAUAUUCGGAGGAACACCAGUGGCGAAGGCGGCUCACUGGCUCGAUACUGACGCUGAGGUGCGAAAGCGUGGGGAGCAAACAGGAUUAGAAACCCUUGUAGUCCCAUG